UGUGCUGCAGCGACUGCGCGCUGUAGGCGGAAAAGGGGAUGCCUGCCUGGAAGGUGGCGGCUGCCAGGUCCUGGGCUUUGAGCGCGUGGCACGGUUUGCCGUCCCUGACCAAGACCGGCACUGCCACACGGCGCGGCGAGGGCAGAGGCGUCACCUCCAUACCUUUCUCCGCCCGGGCACGUUUCAUCUUGUAGCGAUGGUUCUGGAACCAGAUCUUGACCUGUGUCGGCGUGAGACGGAUGAGGCUGGCCAGGUGCUCGCGCUCGGGCGCCGACAGGUUUUAAAGUGGCUGCAACUCCUCUUCAAGCCUUGCUGUGCCCUACAGUGUGAUUUCCAUGCUAUUCCCACCAACAGAGGAACUUUGUGCUACUUCUUUUCCAAUCUUGGCCCAAGAGCAUGAUGGAACUGAGCAUGUGUGAUGUCUGAGUACCAAGCCACCAAAGGUUAUCCCUACCUACAUCAAAGAUGAUGGCCAAGAUGGCAAGACAACUGGGUGGUCAGCUGGCUGAGUGCUCCUUUUAGUGCCUGCAUGGGAAUCACGGAAGGAAUGACUCUUCACAUUCAGUCUCUGUCAGCUUUCAGUCUGAGUUUGGGACCAGUAAGUGUUGGGUUUGGGCCCUUAGUGGCAUGGGUACCAUGAUGAGAGUGCAUACCGAAGAAGGCUUGGCAUCUCAUAGCAGCCAGGGAAUAAUAAAGAUGGGAGGGGUCAGAGUUCCAGAACCUCCUUCAAGGACCCCUCUUCCAACGAUCUCACCGCCUCCUAUGCAUUUCACACCCCAUAGCACCGCAAGCUGGAGACUUUACUAUGCUGGAGGUUAUUGGUGCAACAUACAUCUCAUUUUCGUGGUGACUUGUCACAUGAGGUCAGAGGGGGAGGCUUUCCACGCAUGGUGACAAGUGGGUGCUCAGAUGUGGGGCCAUUUCCCACCGUGGAUUUUCAGACUACAGCCGUGCCUGUGAGAACAAAGUCAAAGGAAGCUGAGGAGCAGAGAAGAUGGGACCUGUUCAGGUGAAGGCUCUCCAGCAGCCAGUGUGUGAAAUAGCUGCUCUACUUAACCGUUGCGCGAGGCUGUGCCAGGCUUUGUGGUACUUUGCCCUCACUACCUGUUAGUAGCUGAGAGGAGAUCAUGCUUCGGAAACCAAGCCACUUGGUUGCAGAUGUUCAGUUCAAACUAUGCAUUACAUAACAGUCAUUAUUUAACUUCAGUGCUUUAGCGCCCUCCAGUGGAAUAUGGAUGUCAUCACAUGGAAUGCUUCAAGGAUGAAAUGAUGUCUUGAGGCAUCUCCUGGCACAGAAUGAUCACCACCUUGUGAGUCUUAUCCACUGACAGUAACAUCCUAAAGUCUCUGGUCCUCUCCCCUCUAGAAGAUUCCCCAGCCUCCAAGGUGGCAACCUCCAUCAAGAUGCUGAUAGUGCUUGUAGUUUCCGGCAGCAACUUGCCAGACCCAGUGGUCCAGAUCUUCCUUAGUAAGUGAGGGCAAGAUUAGAGAGAGGAACACUUCCUUAUAUAAACGGAGAAGUUUGGGUUCAGAAAGGAGAGUCAUGUAAUUUGUUACACCAUGAAGUUGACAGCAGAGCUAGCUCCAGUUCUCUUGUCUCCUCUGAUGUCUCUUCUCAGAGACAUGCAUUCUGACAAAAAAAAUGGAAGGCGGGGGUUGCUUGUGGAACAGCGGAAUUGGAAAUGUUGUCAGAAGACUAACUUGCUCCAGUGAGAGAAUGGGCAGAGUUCAGUUAUGUGCUUCCUAUGACGUUUUAGUCAGUGGCCGAUUGUGUGUGAAUGACAGCAUCACCAGGGAGACCAAGUAGGGAGUAGCCACACCAUUUAGAUAUAUGUAAAUGUACUCUACUGGUUAUAAUCACUUUUAAAGUGUGUGUACACGUGCGUGUGCAUGGGGGGGGGGAAGGUAGAGGCUCAUGUACGCCUGAGAAAGUCAGAUGAUGGCCUCAGGUCUCAGGAGUGCUGUCUAUCUCCCUUUCGAAACAAUUUCUUAUUAGCCUCACACUCAACCAAUUAUGUUAUACAGCUAAACAGCAAGUCUAGGAACUCUCCCCUUGUCCCAGCCUCCCCAGUGUUGAGAUUACCUAUAUACGCCACAGUACACAGCUCUUUUUCCUUGGGGUCUGGGAGAUUGAACCCAGGUCCUCAGGAGAUUGAACCCAGUGAGCAUUUUACCAACUGAGUCCAUUUCCGUAACUCUGUGGUCCAUCUUGAUUGUCACCCUGAGGGUAAGGAGAGCUACUUAGGAGACACACCUUUGGGUAUAUCUGUUACAGUGUUUCCAGAAAGUUUGCUCUGAGAUGGGAGGGCCUGCCCCAGAUGUUUAUGGCCCUGUUUCACCGCUGGGGCCCAAGGAUGAAUAAGGAGAAAGUGCGGUGAGCACCGUCCUUUGUAUGUUCGUUUCUCUCAGCUGCCUGAGUGCAAACUCAACUUGGCCAGACUUUUGUUGCCUUCCUUCCUGGCUGCGAUGGAUUGUCCCGUCAGGCUAUAAGUCAAAAUAAAAUCUUUCUUCUUUAUGUUUCGUUUGCUGAGCAUUUUAUCAGCACAGUGAGAUAGACCAACGAAUACCUCAAACAGCCCAUGAUGUUUGCACAGUGACACAAGGUCUACCAACACAUUUCUCAGGACUGAUCUUUCAGCCACACACGACUCUGGAAACACUCCCUGUACUCAGGAGGCCACAGUAGUGACACAGAUAACCUUUGUCGCCUUUGCCUUGGAGUGGGUGCCACAGGGCAGAGACUACUGGAAGCCCAAAGAGCAACAGAAAGGAGGCACCUCUGCAGGAGGCUAGAGAUGGAGACACUCUUUGGAGGCAGGCAGCUGCCCUCCCUCACAUAGAAACAGCCCUCUCUCUUCUUCAAUAUUGACCUGCAGAGAAAGAAAAAAAGAACCCAUCUUAAUACUUUUUCAGUAGAUCAUGAAGCAGUUUAUUUAAUAUUAUUUGGAUAACAAGCCUCCACAUGAAUGGGAUUCGAAUGUCAAUUGUCUUAGGGGGAAAAAGAUUUAUUGGUUGGUAAAUAUUGAGAAAGGAACGCUGAUAAAGACCGGCUUCAGCUGCGGCCUCGGCCGGGGACGGGAGAACAGGCCUGUGUUGUAUUUUGGGGCCCUGGGAAGGCAAAAACUGGUGAAUGUCUGCCUUUGUUGGUGGGUGUAAAAGUGGAGCCCACCACAAAUAAUUUCUUAUUUCUGUUCACAUAGAUUUUAAAUUAUGUAGCUCCCCUACCUUGUUAAGCAUUAAAGCGGUCUUGUUUAAGGAAAAGGCACUUAAAUAAUGAAGCUUAUGUAGUUUGUUUUCAGACAUCAAUAUCUGGCUUUGAGUGGCACAAAGAGAUAAAGGAAUGUGGAUUCACGGCUUACUGAGAUGCUUGGCAAUUCUAAUUCAACCCGACUGCGAAUGGACACAAGACUGUUGUGACUCCUCCUGAGGAGAGAGAAGGCUGGGUGAGCACGUGGUUUGGGGAAAUUGUAUUCUCUUCUUCAAGUUCUUCUGUUUCCGAACAUUUAAUCCCACUGUUCUCAUCUUUAAUGAAGGUCUCUUUGGUAAAGAAUCUUUUUCCUGGAAUGGCAGAGGGCAACAGAAGCUGGAUUCAGAAGCACACAGAGCUGGGGAAUGUGCGCUGCAGUGGGACUCAGACAGGGAAAGGCUGCCAUCUUGUGGUCGGCUUGGUGCUCUGCAGUCUGUGAACUGUCCCUCUGCAGAAGCCAGCAACCCUGGAGGGAAGGAGUCUGAAUGCUGGAUUUCUGCAGGACAAUGUGGAUGCCUUUAGGAAUUACUCUGACUGUGUUCAGGUGCCCUCCGAGGUAGCCUCCAGCGGGUAUUCUGCACGUAUAUCGUCAUUCCUGGGGCAAGGCUAGGCCUCACAGACACUUGGCAGACUGAGCAGGACAACCAGCAAACAGUGAGAACAAACAGCCAGACACAUAUGCACCAUGUACUUACUGUGUUCCUGGAAGGCAGCCAACUGAAAAACACCCAGGACAAGGCUCAGAGAACAUGGCUGAAGGGGUGACAGACAGAAUGUAAGAGUUGGAGGGAAAAGUCAGAUGGAUGGAUGAACACUACCCACGUCCACACCAAGUCACUGGGAAGCAUUCGCCUUACUUAGAAGAAGCUCCUACUUUUUACUUCCUGCUCAUCAGCUUCACAGAAGGGGGGGGUGAAUAAAAAAAGUUAGAGGAAUCAGAAGACCCCUCUGCAGCUCUGCAGCAAUGUCAUGCCAUCUUUUCUUGAUAACUGCAGACAAUUCAGCUUGACCAGGAUACCCUUGGAUGGGAGUUUGGAACAUUCCUAAACAUGCUUAUGGUUGUUUUCCUUCUGGUUGUGUGGUCUUCAACUGAUAAUUCCACAGUACUAACAUGUAAUUUUAGUGAAUUAAACUCAAGCCAUCCAAUUA
rnacentral:lncRNA from 1 species